AUGGGAGGGAAUGACAAUCACAAGUAUUUUGUUUGCGCGUUCCAAGGGAAACACACCACUACCGUUUCAGAGGCUGACAGGCAGCGAAACAAAACAUCACAGAGGAUAGGCUGCAAUGCAAGAAUGAGGGUGAAGGUGCAGGAGGAUAACACAUGCGUGGCAGUGGACAUUGAGUACAAUCAUAAUCACCACCUCAUGCAAACUGAUGACAUGCUGGUUUUCUUGCACUCACACAAGAAUUAUGACCCCACUAUUCUGGAGUACGUAAAACUCCUGCAGUACCAUGAUGUCAAGCACACAACAAUCAUGUCCAUGCUAUCUGAAAAUGAAGAUGGAAGCUACUUCCUAAGCAUGACCGGACGAGACUUACUAAACCAGAAAGCCAUGAAUGCAAGGAAAGAUGAUUUGGAUGAUGUGUUGAAACUCGUUUCAUUCUUCAAGGACAUUAAGGCAAUCAAUGAUGAGUUUUUCUAUGACAUGCAAGUAGACAAGGACAAGUCAAUCAAAAACAUUUUCAGGUCCAAUGCAAGCUGUCGAGGAGCGUAUCAAGACUUUGGCGAUUGCGUAACCUUUGACAAAACUUACAAAACCAAUAGAUUUCAUAUUCCUCUGGGAGUAUUUGUUGGAACAAACCAUCACUUGCAGUCAACAAUAUUUGCUGUUGCCCUUAUCAGAGACGAAGAUUCAAAGUCAUUCAAGUGGCACCAGUGCCCGUCGAUGGUGAAAGCUAUACCACAAUCAUUCCCAAACACCGUCCACAAGCUAUGCCAUUGGCACAUCCUGAAGAAGUACAAGGAACCGCUGUACAAAAAGUACAAAACAUUCAAAGAGGAGUUCGCAGCUAUAUUAAACUGGUCGCUGAUGCCAACGGAGUUUGAAACUGCCUGGGCUGAGCUCGUGCACAGGUACAACCUAGAGAACAACCAGAUGAUGAUGCAGCUCCGGAAUGAUAGGAAAAUGUGGAUUUCAGCAUAUUACUAGAACAUUUUCUGUGCCAGAAUGACUUCCACACAACGAAGCGAGAGCAUGAACCAUGUGCUCAAGAAAGGGUUUGUCAAGGGGACCCAGAACCUACACAAGUUUGCUAGGCGGGUAAAUGCUUGCAUACAAACUCGUAUACAGAAGGAGAACGAGCAAACAAUGACCAGCAUGACCAAUCCUGUGACAAAAACAACAUACGGCUACGAGGAAGACAUGUCUAUCAAGUACACAAGAGCGGUGUACACCGAGAUGAGGACUAGGAUGAGAAAAGCCACGCUAUUUCGCGCAAAGCCUACAACAGAGCCCACUAAGUACCUUGUGUACUACCACAACAAGGCUGGCCAUGAUGAUGAAGAAAGAUUUUCCUGGUCAAAGCAUGAAUUCCAGGUUGUAGCUGACCCUGAUAAUGAAAUAUACGAGUGUGAAUGCAAGCUAUGGACACACACAGGUGAGCGGAAAAAUAAACUCACUAAAUAG
rnacentral:rRNA from 1 species